GGCCGCGCCCGCCGCCGGGACGGGGGUGCCCGCACCGGGACCCGGCGCUGCGGGCAGGGCGCCCUCCCGGCCCGCUCACCUUCCCGCACCGCGCGGUGGUAACACCGAGGGUCCCUUCGGGAGCGGUGGGUGUGCCGGUGCUGCCCCUCGCUCGACUCAGAGUGACCCUCUCGAGCACCGUUGACAUGAGUCACGGCUGUGCUCGUCCUGCCUCGACCGGACUGGCUGUAGGGCAGAAUUCAAGAUCUCCCUAGGCAUAAAUUUCUUGCCUCACGAGCAGUGGUAUCCAGGGUUGUCCCUUCCUAUCACGUUGUGCUUUUACUCGGUUCCAUGCACCUACACCACUUCUCCAUCUUUUCCUACUGGUCACUUGGGUUUUUUUCCUAACACCUAUGUUGGUAGGAAGUUGCAAUUUGGGUUUGUGUUUUCUAUUCUUUUUUUAUUCUCAUUAAUUCACAAAUAAUUACAAGGGAAAUUUCAAAAACCCCCUGGUUCCUGUCUUGCAAGGAUCUUGAAGAACAGCAAGAAGAUGGUUGUGUGGAAAAGAAGUAAGAGAGGUCACCUCACUGUUCUGAUGACACAGGAAGAGUAAGUCCUUCUUUCUCCUCUGUGUCUGGUGUACUGGGAUCACCUUUGCUGCUCUGUGCUUCAGUGUCCUCAGGGCAAUCAUGUACAAUAAAAGCUGUUAUUACUUCUUCAGCCUACUGAGUUCACAACAGUGACUGAAAUGUCCUCAGACAAACAGAUGGGAAAUGGCCUAACCAAACUAGAAAAAGGCCACAGGCAAUGGUCAUGGAGUGCUUGAAGGGCAUCUGCCUUCCCUCAUCACAAAGUUGAAGGGAGUCAGCAGAAUGGUUCAAGAAGGAGCAGAUGGAAACAGCUGCCAACAGAUGAGUACUGGAAUGGAUUCAAGCCACACUACUUGCUGGAACUUGAGAGUUUGUGAUGGCCUGAGCUUUCCCAAGCACAGGUAUCUAAGAUUUGGAACCAGGCAGCUGUCAGUCAGUUCUUAUUUAUGAGGACCAGAAAAAAACUCCACUGUUGUCCUAUAGUGUAGGGAAUCUUUUAAGCUGUGGUUGCAGAUAGUACUAAAGAUAAAAGAACCCUCCUAAGAUAUUUUUCAUUAACAUGUCUAUCUCAUAAUGCAAUCACUUCAAAUGGUUUUUCUCUUGACCUUGAGCUGAGAUUUACAGGUGGUAAAAGAUAAAUUUAGGAAGGCCAGUGACGCAAUGCUGACACUUUUAUGUCUUCUUGCAUAAUUUUUAGCAAACCAUGAAGAAUAAUAAAUGGCAAAAGCUCAAGUGUCCUUGGCAAACAAACAAACAGAAUAGCACCCUGUGAUAUUUUUACCUUUGUUUCCCCUUACCACACACAGUUUUUACUCCCACAGAGCUUGAAAUAUUAACCCAGCAUGUUAAUUUAUUUCUUCCAGAGUUGCCCUGACCAUUGCAUUUAACAUCUCUCUUGGAAGUACUUCAAACCAAGUGGCUGGCUCCAUCUCUAGCUUUGUUAAUUAGGCACAUUACUUCGUUGCUUUUUUUCUUAUCGCUUAAUGUAAUUGGCAUUUGUGAAGCUUUUGAAAGGCAUGUUUGGGACUACAUUCUGUGCAGCUGGCUUUCAACUGCAAGCUGUUUCAAGUGUGUAGUUCUGCAGAGGACAGCCUUUGAGAGCGUAGAGCAUGAGUGCCUAGCACAUACCCGCUUCCUUUCCAAAGGGAACAAAGGGAUGCAAGUGUGACCUGUCCCAUACAAAGGAACACGUGUGACACAUGAACCCCCUUGCAUCCAUUUGUAUUUCUAUGCCAUUAGAUCUGUAAUGAGAGCAUUACGUGCCCUGGAUGGAGAAUGGGUCUCCCUUUACAAGCUGCUGUAUAAAUGCUUUGCUCGGUGAUGCUCUUCUUCCCAAACUUUAGUCCACACAUAGGGAUGCCUUGCCAUGUCGACACAAAAGCCUGUAGGUGUUUUUCCCAUAAAAAUGGAUCUUUGAGCAUCCAAAUUCAAACUAUGAUCUUGUACUCGCUGUAAUAAUCCCAAUAUACUGUGUCAACUGCCAGCAAGACUGAUGGAUUUACACUGGGUAGGAAUUCGGCUCAUUGGUUUCAGUUGUUGUGGUGUGAAAUGAUGCUCUCUACCUGGGCUGAGAAAGAGUUAGUUUGGGGGGGAAAAAGGAAUGUAAAGACUAAAAAAAAAAAAAGGAUGUCGAAGCCCUGUUUUUCAUGGAAAUGCUGCCCUCCGGUGGCCUGGAGAAAAGCUUACACAGUGCUUAUUGGUUCAAUACUUUCACAGUGUAGCAAGCAGCAUCCCUCAAAUUGUCUAGGAUCCUGCCUCAGGAAACUCACAGGUGCCACAAAAACAAGUUUAAAAAAAUCAGAACAAAAAGAUAUUUCUUCAUUUGGUUUAGGAUUCAGAAGUAGAGCAUCGAUGUGAAAGACAGGAAUGUUGUGUGGCCAAAGUAUAAAAGGAAUCACAGAAUGGUUGGGGUUGGAAAGGACCUUAAGAAUCAUCUUGUUCCAAUCCCUGUGCUAUGGAAAGGGGCACCUCUCACUAGACCAGGUUGCUCAGAGCUCCAUGCAGCCUGGCCUUAAACACUUCCAGGGAUGUGGCACCCACAAUUUCUCUGGGCAACCUGUUCCAGUGCCUCACCACUCUCACAGUAAAGAAUUUCUUCCUAAUAUCUAAUCUAAACCUACUCCCUUUCAGUUUGAAGCCAUUCCCCUUUGUUCUGUCACUACUUGGUCUUUUAAAUAGCCUCUCUUUAUCUUUCUUGUAUUUUCCCUUCAGGUACUGGAAGGCUGCCCUGAAACCUUCUCUUUUCCAGGCUAAACAAUCCCAACUCUCUCAGCCUUUCCUCAUUGGAGGGGUGCUCCAUCCCUCUGAUCAUCUUGGUGGCAUCCUCUGGACUCACCCCAACAGGUCAAUGUCCCUUCUGUGCUGAGGACCCAGAGCUGGAGGCACAGCUCCAGGUGGGAUCUCACCAGAACAGAGUAGAGGGGAAAAUGACCUUCCUUGGUCCAGUGGCUAAGAAUUGUGCCCUAUUGAGGGACUUUGUCACCAGAGAAGGUCAUUGUCAUCCUGCUGUCAUCUGCAGAUCCUCUGCAUCUUCCCCACGUGCCUUCUUGGCAAGCAGCCUAUCUCCCUCAGGACCACUGCUCUCAGCACAGCCCAUACAAUGCAUUCAAACACCUUCCAUUUUCUCCCUCCUUUUGUCUUUAUUUUUCACUUAAAGAAAAAUAGAGUGGUGCCCCAGAAUUUGUCUAGCAAUAAAAAAGCCAAAACCCAACCAACCAUACUAUUCUUACAAUAUUUUCUCUCUGUUUCUGUAGAAGGUUCUUGGUAGGGAGGAAAUUGUUUUUUCCAAUAUAUUUUUCUUGAUGCUCCUAAUGUAUGGGCCUCCAGGUGCUGUCUGAAGACUGUGAAUAUCUUUGCUCUUUCUGCACCAACAAACCUUACAUUAUGGGAAGAGGAUAAAACAACAUGGAGUUCACCAAGCAAUGAUUUCAGGAAGAAAUGUAGUUAAUAGUUUUCCCAGCAGAUGUGGCUGUUGGACCAGAAAAGGCUCAAGCUCACGGAUGACAAAGGAAUACCCAUUGCUGCUACUACCCCUGCCCCUCUGGCUUCAGAAAAAUCACCAAGCUUGGAGCAUGACUGCCCCAGGAAGAAGGAGAAGCAACUGCAUUGCUCUGCUCAACACAUGGCAGCUUGCUCCUCUCUACAGAACAUUGAUCUUCAAGGCCAUACAUGAUUAAAGGAGUGGGAGACAUUCCCUGGAAUUAGCUGUUCCCUGUUUCUUUUUCCUGCUUAAGGUAAGAGCUGCACAAACUCUAUAAUAGUCACCUAACGGAGAACACAAUGACUAGUCUGUCAUCAAAGUAUUUAGGGAUGAUGACGGUAUCUAGAUUGGUUUUCAGUGUGCUUUUUGUUUUUAUUUUACUGUGAUGUUUCUACAAAAGCCAUAAAUCAUAGGGGUGUGAUAAGAAACAGGUUGUAGUUGCUGGUUAUUCUUGCCCAGAUGCAUAGAAAUGCCCUGGUUGUUACUUUCCAAUGACAACCAGCUCAGGGCUAAACAUUUUUCAGUUGCACAGCCAGCUUUCAAGGUUACACAUGGAUACUGAAUGAAACAGAGCCCACUGGUUAUUUUUAGGAAGGUUCUAAACAAGAAGCAAAUCCCUGGAGCAGUGCUGCCAGAGAUGCAUAAAGUUCAAAUCCAAAUUAAAACUGCCUAUCUUUGGCCUACAUUCCAGCUUGAACUUGAGGAAAACUGUGAUCUGUGACUUGAACUUUAUGACAAAAACUCAUUUGCAAUUAGUUUCUAAUACCUGAGAAUACAUGAACUUGGUACAAACACCUGAAAAAUAGAACCUGAAUGAAAAAUGUGAUCACUUGUCCCAAAAUGUGGUACCUGUUCUUGUGAGUUUUGUUUGGUUUCAGUAGCUACACUGGAAUUUGGAGAGUCUCAUUUUCUGCGAUUCUUAGUUUCAACACAUCUUUGGACGAUCAAGUCCUGCAAUCUAAUUGUAAAUUUUGGGGGCAGGAGGAGAAACAUGCUUAUUUAUUGAUUCUUCUAAUAAUGACCCCUUGACAGCAGCAUAUUUAUGCAAAGUAGUGCAACUGAAGCAUGUUCUUGAUUUCUUUACUGAAUCAGUGCCUGUAUCUUCUUCCUGCCAAGGCAGAGAUCUAAUACCACUCCUAAAUGCACUAGUAAUUCUAGAAGCCCGAACGAAAGUCAAGAUAACACC